UGGCGGACGGGUGAGUAACGCGUGGGUAACCUGCCCUGUACAGGGGGACAACAGCUGGAAACGGCUGCUAAUACCGCAUAAGCCUACAGUACCGCAUGGUACAGCAGGAAAAACUCCGGUGGUACAGGAUGGGCCCGCGUCUGAUUAGUUAGUUGGCAGGGUAACGGCCUACCAAGACAACGAUCAGUAGCCGGCUUGAGAGAGUGGACGGCCACAUUGGGACUGAGACACGGCCCAAACUCCUACGGGAGGCAGCAG
rnacentral:rRNA from 1 species